rnacentral:rRNA from 1 species
AUUGAACGCUGGCGGCAUGCCUUACACAUGCAAGUCGAACGGUAACAGGUUAAGCUGACGAGUGGCGAACGGGUGAGUAAUGUAUCGGAACGUGCCCAGUCGUGGGGGAUAACUGCUCGAAAGAGCAGCUAAUACCGCAUACGACCUGAGGGUGAAAGCGGGGGAUCGCAAGACCUCGCGCGAUUGGAGCGGCCGAUAUCAGAUUAGGUAGUUGGUGGGGUAAAGGCCCACCAAGCCGACGAUCUGUAGCUGGUCUGAGAGGACGACCAGCCACACUGGGACUGAGACACGGCCCAGACUCCUACGGGAGGCAGCAGUGGGGAACUUUGGACAAUGGGCGCAAGCCUGAUCCAGCAAUGCCGCGUGAGUGAAGAAGGCCUUCGGGUUGUAAAGCUCUUUUGUCAGGGAAGAAACGGGCGUGGCUAAUAUCCAUGCCUAAUGACGGUACCUGAAGAAUAAGCACCGGCUAACUACGUGCCAGCCGCCGCGGUAAUAC